GCCGGCGUGGCGGAACGGUAUACGCGGCAGUCUCAAAAACUGCUCCCCUCACGGGGUUAAGGGUUCGAAUCCCUUCGCCGGCA
rnacentral:tRNA from 1 species